rnacentral:lncRNA from 1 species
GUUACACUGCGACGCUAUACCAUGCCCAAAAUAAGCAGUCGGUUUGUCGAAAAAUAUUGAAAGCAUGUGUGCUAUUAUACCCUGGAUUCCAGAGCCUUUGACAAUAAAUAAUAAAUUGAAACGUCGCGAAGGCUCUGGUUCAACGGGAAGAUUCUUUGAUUAAACUGAACCGAUCACAAAACAGAAUUAGUGGUUUUAGUAAUUAGUACAGAUUCUGUACUAAAAGCACUAAUUCUGUUUUGUGAUUGGCAUAGUUUAAUCAAAGAAUCUUCCCGUUGAACCAGAGCCUUCGCAAUGUUUCAAUUUAUUAUUUACUGUCAAAGGCUCUGGAAUCCAGGGUAGUGCUAUCGUAACAAAAGAGGAACAUUUGUUUGCUUUUUGAAAUGAAAUAGAACAUAUAAUUAUAUAAUUUUAAUGAUUUUCUUCUGAUUUUCAGAGAGGUCUUGGAAACAUUAAUUGUUGAUACUUUUGAAAUAUAAAAUAUUGCCAUAAAAUAUAUAGAGAAUAAUACAUGGGUGUUUCAACACGAGAAAUAAAUCUGGUAUUUCCAAGCACCCAUGUAUUAUUCUGUUUAUUAUACAAAGGACAGUAGUCUUUGAAAAGCGAUAAUUGUUCCAGAAAAGCGAUAAAUGAAAAGCGAUAAUUUUCACAUGUGAGUCUGAGAUUAUCAUGAAUAAUCUCACAUGUGAGAUUAUCACUUUUAUCAGUGCUUGAAAUCUCUAUAAAGCACUAUACCUUUAUAUAAUAAAUAACAUUCUAAGGCUAUAUAUAAAUUGAUACUAUUGAUACUAUAGUGCUGUUCCAACGUGCAAUAAUGUGAAAAAAAAGAAAAGAAAAAAAGAGAUGAAAAAGUUUUUUCAUCAAGUGAGAAAAAAGAA